rnacentral:snRNA from 1 species
GAUGAAUAGUAUCGUCAAACAAU